UUUCCGUAGGUGAACCUGCGGAAGGAUCAUUCAUAAUAAAGUGUUUUAUGGCACUUUUUAAAAAUCCAUAUCCACCUUGUGUGCAAUGUUAGAUCUCGUCAAUCUUGGCGAGAUUUUUAUACAUCAACUCAUUCUUUAACUAAUUUGUCUGAAGAAUAUUAUGAAUACUUAAUUCAAAAUACGACUUUCAACAACGGAUCUCUUGGCUCUC
rnacentral:misc_RNA from 1 species